rnacentral:lncRNA from 1 species
UGAGAGAUUUUUAAGUUGCUAUUAAAAUUUUCUGGUGACCUCAUCUUCUUUGUCUCCUACAGUCUCUAUUGUAGCUGAAACAGAAGAAAUCAAGGCCAUUUUGAAGGACAAGGGAAUUGACGUGGAGACCAUUGCUGAGGUAUACCCCAUCAGAGUACAACCAGCUCGUAUUCUCAGCCACAUUUAUUCCAGCCUAGGAUGCAACAAUAGAAUGAAACUCAGUGGACGACCCUACAGACACAUGGGAGUGCUUGGAACUUCAAAACUCUAUGACAUUCGGAAAACUAUCUUUACUUUCACUCCACAGUUUAUAGACCAGCAACAGUUCUACCUGGCUCUGGACAACAAGAUGAUGGUGGAAAUGCUUAGAACAGACCUCUCCUACCUCUGUAGCCGCUGGCGGAUGACAGGCCAGCCCACCAUCACCUUCCCCAUCUCACACAGCAUGCUUGGUAAGGGCUACAUGAGGCAAGGAAUGAAUGUAUUUUGGAAAUAAGUCAUAGAUUUAGCCCUUCAACAUCUUGGUGUUUCUAGAGAGUUACUUCUUAUAAUUUAUUCUUUCAGCGGUAUUUAUUGGCUCCUAUUUUAUGCCAAGCACUUUUCUAAGCACUGGGGACACAUGGAGUGAAUAAGGCAGAUGAGAAUUUCUGUUCUCAUGGAGCUUAUGCUUUAGAAGGUGAAGACAGACUAUAUGUAAUACAUAAAUCAACACACAAUAAUUU